rnacentral:tRNA from 1 species
GCGGGCGUAGCUUAGUUGGUUAAAGCGCCUCCCUGUCACGGAGGAGAUCGUGGGUUCGAGUCCCAUCGCCCGCG